rnacentral:tRNA from 1 species
ACCUGGCUGGCUCAGUCGGUAGAGCGUGCAACUCUUGAUCUCGGGGUUGUGAGUUGGAGCCCUCACGUUGGGUA